GACGAACGCUGGCGGCGUGCUUAACACAUGCAAGUCUAACGGAAAGGCCCUGCUUUUGUGGGGUGCUCGAGUGGCGAACGGGUGAGUAACACGUGAGUAACCUGCCCUUGACUUUGGGAUAACUUCAGGAAACUGGGGCUAAUACCGGAUAGGAGCUCCUGCUGCAUGGUGGGGGUUGGAAAGUUUCGGCGGUUGGGGAUGGACUCGCGGCUUAUCAGCUUGUUGGUGGGGUAGUGGCUUACCAAGGCUUUGACGGGUAGCCGGCCUGAGAGGGUGACCGGCCACAUUGGGACUGAGAUACGGCCCAGACUCCUACGGGAGGCAGCAGUGGGGAAUAUUGCACAAUGGGCGGAAGCCUGAUGCAGCAACGCCGCGUGCGGGAUGACGGCCUUCGGGUUGUAAACCGCUUUCGCCUGUGACGAAGCGUGAGUGACGGUAAUGGGUAAAGAAGCACCGGCUAACUACGUGCCAGCAGCCGCGGUGAUACGUAGGGUGCGAGCGUUGUCCGGAUUUAUUGGGCGUAAAGGGCUCGUAGGUGGUUGAUCGCGUCGGAAGUGUAAUCUUGGGGCUUAACCCUGAGCGUGCUUUCGAUACGGGUUGACUUGAGGAAGGUAGGGGAGAAUGGAAUUCCUGGUGGAGCGGUGGAAUGCGCAGAUAUCAGGAGGAACACCAGUGGCGAAGGCGGUUCUCUGGGCCUUUCCUGACGCUGAGGAGCGAAAGCGUGGGGAGCGAACAGGCUUAGAUACCCUGGUAGUCCACGCUGUAAACGGUGGGUACUAGGUGUGGGGUCCAUUCCACGGGUUCCGUGCCGUAGCUAACGCUUUAAGUACCCCGCCUGGGGAGUACGGCCGCAAGGCUAAAACUCAAAGGAAUUGACGGGGCCCCGCACAAGCGGCGGAGCAUGCGGAUUAAUUCGAUGCAACGCGUAGAACCUUACCUGGGUUUGACAUGGAUCGGGAGUGCUCAGAGAUGGGUGUGCCUCUUUUGGGGUCGGUUCACAGGUGGUGCAUGGCUGUCGUCAGCUCGUGUCGUGAGAUGUUGGGUUAAGUCCCGCAACGAGCGCAACCCUUGUUCACUGUUGCCAGCACGUUAUGGUGGGGACUCAGUGGAGACCGCCGGGGUCAACUCGGAGGAAGGUGGGGAUGACGUCAAGUCAUCAUGCCCCUUAUGUCCAGGGCUUCACGCAUGCUACAAUGGCUGGUACAGAGAGUGGCGAGCCUGUGAGGGUGAGCGAAUCUCGGAAAGCCGGUCUCAGUUCGGAUUGGGGUCUGCAACUCGACCUCAUGAAGUCGGAGUCGCUAGUAAUCGCAGAUCAGCAACGCUGCGGUGAAUACGUUCCCGGGGCU
rnacentral:rRNA from 1 species